rnacentral:rRNA from 1 species
AUGGGAGGGAGAUCGCCGCCGGCGGGGUGGCGGCGAUGGGUGCGGACGCGGCUUCUUCUUCUUCUUCUCGUGGUGCUGGCGCUGGCGGCGACGGCGGCGGUGGAGGGGAGGUUCGUGGUGGAGAAGAACAGCCUGCGGGUGACGUCGCCGGCGGCGCUGCGGGGCGUGUACGAGUGCGCCAUCGGCAACUUCGGGAUGCCGCAGUACGGGGGCACCAUGCACGGCGUCGUCGUCUACCCCAAGGCCAACACCAAGGCCUGCAAGCCCUUCGCCGACUUCGGCCUCUCCUUCAACCCCAAGGCCGGCGGCCUCCCCGUCUUCCUCCUCGUCGACCGCGGAGACUGCUACUUCACAACCAAGGGAUGGAACGCGCAGACGGCCGGAGCCGCCGCGGUGCUCGUCGCCGACGACAGAGCAGAGCCCCUCAUCACAAUGGACACCCCAGAGUCCAGCGGCAAGGAGCACCUCGAGAACAUCACCGUCCCCUCCGCCCUAGUCUCCAAACGCUUCGGCGACGACCUCAAGGGCGCCCUCGAGAACGGCGACAUGGUGAACGUGCUCCUGGACUGGCGAGAGUCCCUCCCUCACCCGGACGAGCGCGUCGAGUACGAGUUCUGGACCAACAGCAACGACGAGUGCGGCGCCAAGUGCGACAUGCAGAUGAGCUUCGUCCGGGACUUCCGCGGGGUGGCGCAGGUGCUGGAGCAGCGCGGCUACACCCAGUUCGCGCCGCACUACAUCACCUGGUACUGCCCGGAGGCCUUCGUCCUGAGCGCGCAGUGCCGGUCGCAGUGCGUCAACCACGGCCGCUACUGCGCCCCCGACCCCGAGCAGGACUUCACCACCGGGUACGACGGCAAGGACGUCGUGGUGCAGAACCUGAUCCAGAUUUGCCUCUUCAAGGUCGCCAACGAGAGCCGCAAGCCGUGGCUGUGGUGGGACUAUGUGCACGACUUCGCCAUCCGGUGCCCCAUGAAGGAGAAGAAGUACACCACCGAUUGUGCUCAUGGUGUCAUCAAGUCGCUUGGGAUGGACAUUGACAAGAUUACCCAAUGCGUCGGAGACCCCGACGCCGACGAAGACAAUCCGGUGCUCAAAGCAGAGCAAGAUGCUCAAAUUGGCCAUGGUGCUCGAGGGGAUGUUACCAUACUGCCGACUUUCGUCGUCAAUAACAGACAGUACAGAGGGAAACUGGAUAAAAGGGCGGUGCUACGAGCGAUAUGCUCGGGAUUUGAGGAGACGACCGAACCCGACAUCUGUUUGACUCAAGACAUACAAACAAACCAGUGCUUGGAAAACAAUGGAGGUUGCUGGCUGGACAAAAACACUAAUUUCACGGCGUGCAAGGAUACCUUCCGUGGGCGGGUUUGCGAGUGCCCGGUUGUCAAUGGCGUCAAGUUCGUUGGCGACGGGUACACCCAUUGUGAAGCUUCUGGUGUCGGUCGAUGCCAAAUCAACAACGGAGGCUGCUGGAAGGAGACCAGGAACGGCAAGUCUGUCUCUGCCUGCUCGAAUGAGCAAGCUAAGGGCUGCAAAUGUCCGCAAGGAUUCAAGGGCGACGGCAUACACGGUUGCGAAGAUGUUGAUGAAUGCAAAGAGAGGCUCUUCUGCCAGUGCAAGGACUGCAGCUGCGAGAACACAUGGGGAAGCUACGAGUGUGGCUGCGGUGGUAGCAACAUGCUAUACAUGAGAGAGCAUGACACUUGCAUCAGCAAGGUCGCGACUUCGUCGCUGGGAUGGGGUUUCAUGUGGGUCAUCUUCUUCGGCCUCGGUUUCGCGGGAGUUGGAGCAUACGCCGUCUACAAAUAUCGGCUACGGAGCUACAUGGAUUCAGAGAUCCGCGCGAUCAUGGCGCAGUACAUGCCGCUGGAGAACCAGGAGACGUCGAGCCACCAACGGCAUGUGGAGCACGCCGACAUCUGA